rnacentral:rRNA from 1 species
CCAAUAGCGUAUAUUUAAGUUGUUGCAGUUAAAAAGCUCGUAGUUGGAUUUUGGGUUGGGGAAUUCGGUCUGCCUACCGGCUGAUACUGUAUUUCCCAUCCUUCUUGCCGGGGACAGGUCCUGGUCUUCAUUGACUUGGGGCCUGGAUUCGGCGAUGUUACUUUGAAAAAAUUAGAGUGUUCAAAGCAGGCCUAUGCUCUGAAUAAAUUAGCAUGGAAUAACGCGAUAGGACUCUGGUCCUAUUGUGUUGGUCUUCGGGACCGGAGUAAUGAUUAAUAGGGACAGUUGGGGGCAUUCGUAUUUCAUUGUCAGAGGUGAAAUUCUUGGAUUUAUGAAAGACGAACUACUGCGAAAGCAUUUGCCAAGGAUGUUUUCAUUAAUCAAGAACGAAAGUUGGGGGCUCGAAGACGAUCAGAUACCGUCCUAGUCUCAACCAUAAACGAUGCCGACUAGGGAUUGGCGGAUGUUAAUUUGAUGACUCCGCCAGCACCUUCCGAGAAAUCAAAGUUUUUGGGUUCCGGGGGGAGUAUGGUCGCAAGGCUGAAACUUAAAGGAAUUGACGGAAGGGCACCACCAGGUGUGGAGCCUGCGGCUUAAUUUGACUCAACACGGGGAAACUCACCAGGUCCAGACAUAGUAAGGAUUGACAGAUUGAGAGCUCUUUCUUGAUUCUAUGGGUGGUG